rnacentral:rRNA from 1 species
GAUGAACGCUGGCGGCGUGCUUAACACAUGCAAGUUGAACGUGAGAAUAGCAAUAUUUGAAAGUGGCAAACGGGUGAGUAACACGUGGGAACCUGCCUCGAAGUGGGGGAUAACGAUUGGAAACGGUCGCUAAUACCGCACGGUUCUGCUCUGAUGGGAAUGGAGCAGAUAAAGAUUUAUCGCUUUGAGAGGGGCCCGCGGCCGAUUAGCUAGUUGGUAAGGUAAAGGCUUACCAAGGCGAUUAUCGGUAGCUGGUCUGAGAGGACGAUCAGCCACACGGGAACUGAGACACGGUCCCGACUCCUACGGGGGGCAGCAGUGAGGAAUAUUGGGCAAUGGGCGAAAGCCUGACCCAGCAACGCCGCGUGGAGGAUGAAGGCUUUAGGGUUGUAAACUCCUUUUGUGGGGGAAAAGAAUGGAUGGUACCCCAAGAAUAAGUCACGGCUAACUACGUGCCAGCAG